CCUACGGGAGGCAGCAGUGAGGAAUAUUGCGCAAUGGACGCAACUCUGACGCAGCAACGCCGCGUGAGUGAAGAAGGAUUUCGGUAUGUAAACUUCUAUUAAGGGGGAAGAGCAGAAGACGGUCCGCCUUGAAUAAGCCAGGGCUAACUACGCGCCAGCAGCCGGGGUAAGACGGAGGUGGCAAGCGUUGUCCGGAUUUACGGGGUGGAAAGGGCGUGCAGCCGGGAAGACAAGUCAGAUGUGAAAUCCCGCGGCUUAACCGCGGAACUGCAUUGGAAACUGUUUAUCUUGAGUAUCGGAGAGGUAAUCGGAAUUCCUAGUGUAGCGGGGAAAUGCGUAGAUAUUAGGAAGAACACCAGUGGCGAAGGCGGAUUACUGGACGACAACUGACGGUGAGGCGCGAAAGCGUGGGGAGCAAACAGGAUUAGAUACCCGAGUAGUC
rnacentral:rRNA from 1 species